rnacentral:rRNA from 1 species
UACGAAGGGUGCAAGCGUUACUCGGAAUUACUGGGCGUAAAGCGUGCGUAGGUGGUUUGUUAAGUCUGAUGUGAAAGCCCUGGGCUCAACCUGGGAAUUGCAUUGGAUACUGGCAGGCUAGAGUGCGGUAGAGGAUGGCGGAAUUCCCGGUGUAGCAGUGAAAUGCGUAGAGAUGUGGAGGAACACCGAUGGCGAAGGCAGCCUCCUGGGCCAGCACUGACGCUCAUGCACGAAAGCGUGGGGAGCAAACAGG